rnacentral:rRNA from 1 species
AGUGGCAGACGAGAGAGUAACACGUUGGUACCUACCCCAUACUCAGGGAUAACUUCGAGAAAUCGGAGCUAAUACCGGAUGGUCCCGCAAUGGUAAAGCUUUUGCGGUAUGGGAGGGGCCUGCGACCUAUUAGCUAGUUGGUAAGGCAACGGCUUACCAAUGCGAUGACGGGUAGCUGAUGUGAGAGCAUGAUCAGCCUCGAUGGGACUGCGACACGGCCCAUACUCCUACGGGAGGCAGCAGUGAAGAAUCUUCCGCAAUGGACGAAAGUCUGACGGAGCAACACCGCGUGAAGGAUGAAGGCCCUCGGGUCGUAAACUUCUUUUCUGAGGGAAUAAGUUCUGAAGGUACCUCAGGAAUAAGGCGCUGCUAACUACGUGCCAGCAGCAGCGGUAAUACGUAGGCGCCAAGCGUUAUCCGGAAUUACUGGGCGUAAAGCGUCCGUAGGCGGCCAAAUUAGUCGGGUGUUAAAUUUCCAUGCCCAACAUGGAAAUCGUAUCUGAAACUGUUUGGCUACGAGUCUGAAAGAGGCCACUGGAAUUUCUAUUGGAGGAGUUAAAUCCGUAGAUAAUAGAAGGAACACCAAAAGCGAAGGCAGGUGGCUGGUUCAGUACUGACGCUCAGGGACGAAAGCGUGGGGAGCGAACAGGAUUAGAUACCCUGGUAGUCCACGCUGUAAACGAUGAGUGCUAGGCGUUGGAGAGUUGUUUCGACCCUCUUCAGUGUCCACAGUUAACACGUUAAGCACUCUGCCUGGGGAGUACGGCCGCAAGGCUAAAACUCAAAGGAAUAGACGGGGGCCCGCACAAGCGGUGGAGCAUGGGGUUUAAUUCGAUAAUAAGCGAGGAACCUCACCUAGGCUUGACAUCCCGAGAAAGUCCUGGAAACAGGACCGUGCCUUUUGGAACUCGGUGACAGGCGCUGCAUGGUUGUCGUCAGCUCGUGCCCUGAGGUGUUCGGUUAAGUCCGUAAACGAGCGCAACCCUCGUCGUGUGUUGUAUUUUUCACACGAGACUGCCGGCUUUACGCCGGAGGAAGGCGAGGAUGACGUCAAAUCAGCAUGGCCCUUAUGCCUAGGGCCACACCCGUGCUACAAUGGAAAGCACAAUAGGUAGCGAAGGAGUAAUCUGGAGCCAAUCCUUAAACUUUCCCAAGUUCGGAUUGAGGGCUGAAAUUCGCCCUCAUGAAGUUGGAAUCGCUAGUAACCGCGGAUCAGCCAUGUCGCGGUGAAUAUGUUCCCGGGCCUUGUACUCACCGCCCGUCACGUCAUGGAAGAUGGGAGCACCUGAAGCACCCUUGUAAUAGGGGUACCACGGU